rnacentral:lncRNA from 1 species
CCUACUAUAUGUAGAUUGGCCCUCUUUAUUCUAUUCCAUACAUCUCUCAUAUUGCUUUCAUGGUUUUUCAUUUGGUUUUCUGUUUGGUGUCCUGAUUGGGUGAUUUCCAUUAUUCUAUCUUCCAGGUCACUAAUUCAUUCCUCUGCAUUAUUCAUUCUGCUCUUUAAUUUACAUCUCAGUAGACUAAAUUUUUCUUCACUCCUCCUUAUAUUUUUUCCUUUCUAAAGUAAUCCACAUUACUCUUCAUUUCUGCUCUUAAUUCCUUCAUAUGUGCUCUUAAUUUCUUCAUAUUUUCACUGUCUUUUUGAACUUGAUGUCUGUUAGACUGCAGAGGUCAAGUUCCUUGUUUCCUCCUUCAUGGGAAUUCUGUUCUUUAACUGGAAAUGGUUCCUGAGCUUCUUCUCUUUUUGAUUAUGUUUUUCUUAUUCUGUGAGUUUAGGAAAAACAACUACUGUAGUCUUGGAGGGCUAUUUAUACGCAAGAGUGCCCCUGCAUAUUUUUGGGGGGCUAUUUUUUUUUUUUUUUGGCAUGAGGGCUGCUUUUGGUUUUUAUGCUUAUGUCUCUUUCCUCAUAGCGUGCAGGCUGUUAUCCCCUUGAUAGUGUAUUAUGUGUGCUUCCAGGGAGAUGGAGGCAAUGGGCAGGGCUAACAGCCAGGGCCUGGUUGCUUGGCCCUUGAAAGUGGACCCUCAGGGAAGUGGCACAGGCUACUCCUAGUUGUACAGCCCUGGGUAGUGGCAGUGACCCUCAGAUGGGUGCAGGCAGCACCCAGAGCACUUUGCAAUGUCAGCAGCAGGGCAUGUGUGCUCCCAGGGGAGUGAGAGCAACAAUGGUUGGUGUUCCGUUGCAGUGCUCUGCUCUGUGAUGACCUCUGAGGUGACUGGGACUGCAGGUGGUGCCUAUUCAUGGACCCUUAAGUGACAGUGGGCUAUACUCACCUCUGGAGUCUGAGAUACGAAGGCAGUGGUUUUCCCCACCACCUGUAGACCAUGCAAGAGGCAACCCCAUUGUGCUUAGCCUAUGCAUGAGGCACCCUGCUGUCCUUGGCCCAUGCAAGAGGCACCCAAUCACCUGUAGCCUUCACAAGAGGUACCCCAUCACUCGUAGCCCAUGAAAGAGGCACCUCGCCACCCAUAUCCUGCACCAGAGGGAACACACAGAGAGUCUGUGUGUGUGCAAAGAUAUUCCUAUGGAGGUACACCCCUCCUCUUUUUGCACUCCCCAACAACUGCACCUUGCAUCUCCCGUGGGUCCAUACCUUCGUCCAGUUUCUCUCAGCUGUGGCUCUCUCUCUCCAGCCUGUGGUGCACUCCUCCCUAACACCUCAUUUUGUCUCCACACAGAUAAAGCUAGUUCUCUCCCAAGAACUGAUAUUCAGAGCCUGAGUCUCAGCACCAGCCCAUACCUGAGCAUCUCAGGCUGUGGUGUCCAGGGGUGGUGGUACUGAUGGUUCAUGGGGCUCUCUCUCUCCUUUGCCCUACUCAGUCCAGCUGCUGUGCUUUUUUCCAAGGCUUUGAGGUCCCUGAAACUCAUCUGAUGAGAUGAGAUUAGGUGUCAGUUAAGUGGCUUCCCAGGGUUGGGGUUCCCUUCCUCUUUCACAGCUCCCUCUUACGAGUGCCAGUCCCAUACUGACUCCUUUUUUCUCUCUCUUUUUUGUCCCUUUUGUCCCAGUUAUGUGGAGGGUUUCUUGUCUUUUUUGGAGGCUUAAGAUCUUCUGCCAGCAAUCAGUAGAUGUUCUUUGUGAAUCAUUCCACAUGAUUUAUUUUUUUGAUAUGUUUUUGGGAGAAGGUGAGAGCCACGUCUAACUCCUCUGCCAUCUUGAUCCCACUGUUAGGAAUAUAUUUUAAACUUCAUUUCUUUUGGAUGAUGAAACCAAGGCCCAUAAAGGGCAAGUGAUUCACCUAAAUGAUUAUUUAGGCAGUAACAUUCAGUCUACCCAGAAGUUCAUGGUUUUAAACAACUUACUGCACUAUUUUCUAUCAUAUACAUGGGCUUCACAGCAUAAGAGAAUCAUGAGAUAAAACGAAAUGUAGUGGAUGAGCAGCACUCCUUAUGCCUCAAGGAGUGGAUUUGAAUCACAUCCCUAGCAUUUACUAGCUGCGUGAUUGUGGACAAGGUAAGCAGUCUUCAUUUAUGGAAUAGAAAUAAUAAGGUAACUACCUCAUAAAGGUGCCAUGAAGAUUAAGUAACUAACACUAUAUACCCAAAGUGAUUGGAGCAGGAUUUGGCACAAGCCCAAAAUGCAUACUGUUUUAUUGCUGCUGCUGUUUAUUAUUAUCAUCAUUCUUUGACAGCAAAGUAAGACUACUACCUUUGAGGUCAAUUCUUUAAACAUGACAAAACACUUACUAGUUCUUUAUUUUCAUCAAUAUUGAUCUUAUGGCUUUUCAAAGAUGCAGUCUUAUAACAUCAAAGAAAGAAUGAUCUCCUAAUCUUUAAUUCCAGCUGACUUUGAAGAAGCAUCUGAGAGUUAUGAAGUCAGGCUGUAUAGAGGAAUUAAUUAGGAUGUUUUAAAAAAUUUCUAUGGCCUCUCCCAUACUUAUGACACUAGAAUCUCUAGGGUAACUGUAAAAAAAUCUUCCCUGGUGAUUCUGAUGUAGGUGGUCCACAGAUGAGCAUUUGAGAAUCACAGAACUUCAUCAUUCUUUAAGGCAUAAAGAAAAGCAAUCCAAUGAAAAAUCUCUGUCUCUUCUCUAAACGUGUUCCUGAAAUAAAGUUCUAUCAAAAGGCUAGAAAUAAAAAUUUCUAUGCUUUAAGACUUUUGUAAAGGGGAAGCCAUUAUAUUCUCAAUAAUUACUACUGCCUAAGGGAAAUGAAACUUUUGGCACUCAAUAUGACAACAAUCAUUUACUAAGUGCCAGUUAAGCAAUGUGUACAAAGAUUUUUGACUUCUCAAGUAUGUAGCCCUGACCUUCAAUAAAAUCUAAAUGUUACUUAAAAAGCAAAAUGUCUUAAAACAGAGACUAGUCACAUCAAAAUAAAGAGAUGUGUUCCUAUAACUUCAAGUGUACUGAAAUGAAUACUACUCUGGCUCACACAUAACUAUAUUGGCUGCAAAGGCUUUAUGCUCUCUUGAAUGAGCUGGGUAAUUGUUUUCUUUCCUUUCCUCUUUAGGUUUAACCUCAAUAGUAAACACGUUAGUUAAUCUAAGCUGGUUUAGAUGAUGAAACUGCAUGAAAGGAAUUGCACAGAAUGUUCCAGAGCCUGGUGGAAUAGCAGAAUUCAGCAAUUCACUUCUGAGGAAGUGGAAACUCUCUAACACAUCACAACAUACACCAAACUAUUACUAAUUAGUUUAAAGGCUAACUCAAAUGUGCAGCUUCAAUAGUAAGCAUAAAGAUUAGGGACCUAGAUAACUAAUGAACUCACUGAAAGAGAACGCUUCCUUAUCAAACUCAGUAAGUCUGUGGUAUCUAUUUAUCAUUUAAUUUGCAUCAUCUGAGAAAAAAUUAAGAGUGUCUUCCUGUUAUAGAAUACUUACUUGAUUCAAUAUAAUAUAAAAAUAACAUUAGGAAAACUGGUCCUUUAGGGUACAUAGCUCAUUAUUAUGCACAAAACACUACUAAUAUGGGCACUUUAAAUGAAAGCUGUCAUUUUUAUCAUUAAUACACUUGUGGUCUAUGACUUUUAUUUCUAUGGAAUGAAAUGAACCCUGAUAGUCUCAAGUUCUUGGUAUAGCCUUGUGCUACUUGGAAGUUAUUUAUGAACUAAGAAGACGUGUUUUAUUGUCUAAUGUUCUUUUACUCUGAGUCCUAGCUCUAGGCAACAUUGUAAGAUAGGUAAAUAUUAUCUGUAGUAUCACACUUUUUACCCAAGCAGCCCUUUGCCCUCAAGCUGUUUUCUCUGUCUUGAGCCACUAAAUCUUUUCAAACAAUGCCUUCUGCCUCUUACCUUUCCUGAUCCAGCUCUCCCACUCAAAAUUAAUUGCCCUUAACUGUACUUAGGGAAGACAUCAAUGGACUAAUCUAAUCAUUUCUGCCAAAUUAUGCUAAUGACAGAUACAGAAUUAAUGAAUUAUGCCUUCUAUAACAUAUAUUUAUUUUCAGAAGCUCAAGAAAAACUAUAGAAGUAAUAUAGAAAUUUCAGGGAAAGUUAUGGAAAACUUCAUUUUCCCUAAGCUUUCAAAACAAAUAAGUAGUUACCUCUUCUCUCUUAAGGCUAGCCUGACUCAUUGAAUCCAGUAAAACCAUCUGUGGUAGGCAAAACAAUCUCUCCUUCCCCAAAGAUUGCCCACAUCUUAAUCCCUGAAACCUAUGAUACUUGUUAAAAUAAAUGGCAAGGGGAAGACUACUGAUGGAAUUGAGGUCAUUAAUCAGCUGACUUAAAAAUAAGAUUAUCCCAGAUUAUGUGAGUUGAGCGCAAUGGAAAUAUAGGAGCUGUUAAAUGGGGAGAAGGGAGACAGAAGAGACAGAACAAGAGAUAUGACAUAAUAAUAAAGACUUGACUAGCCUUUUCUGGCUUUGAAGAUGGAUGCUGGCCAUGAGCCAGGACAAGCAGACAGACUCUGGAAGCUAGAGAAGGAGAAAAUGAAUUAUCCCCUAGGGCGUCCAGAAAGGAAUGCAGCCCUGACAAUACCUUCAUUUUAGGCCAGUAAGAUACAUUUCAGAUUUCUGAUAUCUAGAUGUAGAAUAUAUUUGUGUUUAUUAAGCAACCCAAUACAUGGUAAUUUGUAAUAUACCACCAAAGUACAUAGAGGGAGCUAGCACCUUGAUUUCCUUAAAAUACCUACUUGGAAUUUUUUCCUACAGGAUUAUGCUGCUGCUUUAUAGCAGUUGCUUAUUUGUAUUUGCUACUAAUUUAGAAAAUAAAAAUAGAUAAUCAAUGAUUGUGGCUUCAGGUAAAAGAAAAAAAAGGUUCAACAAAUAGAAAUAAUUUAACAUGCAUACACUGUAAAAAUAUCUAUAAAUGUUCAACUGGACAAAAAAGUGAAAUCAGUAAAAAUCAGUAAAAAUAAGGAUAGUGUGGCCUUGUUCCAAAACAUUUUUAUUCAAGAAUGUGAGAAGGAGAUGGGAUUAAGAUGGCAGAGUAGGACAGGAGCCCACAUUCUCUCAUAAAAGCAAGAAAAUUACAACCAACUACUGAAUAACCUUCAACCAAAUAGACUGCAAAUUAUCAAAAAAGAUAUCCUAUUCCAGAAAACAAAGAGGAGGCCACAACAAGAUGGUAGGGGGGGGCGAUCAUGUGAUAUAAGCAACCCCAUACCAGCCAGGUGGGCAACCCAAGACUGGAAAGAAACUGUGUCACAGAGCCUCACCUAUGGGAGUGAGUGUUCUGAGCCCCAUAUUGGGUCCCCACACCUGGGGAUCUGGGAUUGGGAGAAGGAGCCCCCGGGCAUGUGGCACUGAAGGCUAAUGGGUCUUGCGUGCAGGAGCAUCACAGGACUAGGGGAAAUGGAAACCGCAUUCUUGAAAGGUGCACACAGGCUUUCAUGUGCACUGAGUGCACAGGACAAAGCAGAGACUCCAUAGGAAUCUGGAUCAGACCUGACUUCAGUUCUUGGAGCAUCUCCUGGGAAAACAAGGGGUAACUGGCUCAGCAUGGAGGAAGGACAUUAGAGGCAAAGGCCUCUGGAAUAAUCAUCAGCAUGUGUUCCCCUAGAGGUGGCCAUUUUGGGAAAAUCUGUCCCCACCCAUCAGCACUGAGAAGCCCCUGGCCAAACAAUAAUCCAGGUGUGAUCAUGGCCCCAACCCAUGAGCAAACAGGCUGCCUAAAGACCCCACAGACACACAGCUGCAGCUAAUCUCACCCAGAAAUAAAACCCCACCCAACAGAGAGAUAAGAAUCAGCUCCAUCUACCAAUGGGCAGGCACCAGACCCUCCCAAUAGAAAGCCUGUAGCAAGCCCCCUGUACCUACUUCAGCCACAAGGGUGGGGGCGGACAUCAGAAACAAGAGAGGUUACAACCCUAUUUUCUGCAAGAAAGGAGAACAGAACAAAAAUCUAUACAAAAUGAAAAGGCAGAGAAUUAUGACUCAGAUAAGGGAGCAAGAAAAAAGCCCAUAAAAACAGCUAAGCAUUCUAGAGAUUAUCAACCCCUAUGAAAAAGACUUGAGACUGAUGAUAGUGAAGAUGAUUCAAGAUGUUGAAAAUAAACUGGAGGCAAAGGCUGAUAAAUUACAAGAAACACUGAGCAAAGAAGUGUAAGAUUUAAGAAUUAGGGAGUUCCUGUCAUGGCUCAGUGGUUAAUGAAUCCGACUAGUAACCAUGAGGUUGUGGGUUCAAUCCCUGUCCUUGCUCAGUGGGUUAAGGAUUUGGCAUUGCCAUAAGCUGUGGUGUAAGUCACAGACACAGUUUGGAUCUGGCAUUGCUGUGGCUCUGGCAUAGCAUGGUGGCUACAGCUCCAAUUAGACCCCUAGCCUGAGAAUCUCCAUAUGCUGCAGGUGCAGCACUAGAAAAGGCAAAAAGACCUAAAAAAAAAAAAAAAAAAAAAAAAAAAAA